UGUUCCUACGGGGCGCAGCAGUGAGGAAUAUUGGUCAAUGGGCGGGAGCCUGAACCAGCCAAGCCGCGUGAAGGAAGAAGGCGCCAAGCGUCGUAAACUUCUUUUGUCGGGGAACAAAGGGCGCCACGUGUGGCGUUGUGAGUGUACCCGAAGAAAAAGCAUCGGCUAACUCCGUGCCAGCAGCCGCGGUAAUACGGAGGAUGCGAGCGUUAUCCGGAUUUAUUGGGUUUAAAGGGUGCGUAGGCGGAAGGUUAAGUCAGCGGUCAAAUGUCGGUGCUCAACACCGGCCUGCCGUUGAAACUGGU
rnacentral:rRNA from 1 species